rnacentral:rRNA from 1 species
AUUGAACGCUGGCGGCAGGCCUAACACAUGCAAGUCGAGCGGAUGAAGGGAGCUUGCUCCUGGAUUCAGCGGCGGACGGGUGAGUAAUGCCUAGGAAUCUGCCUGGUAGUGGGGGAUAACGUCCGGAAACGGGCGCUAAUACCGCAUACGUCCUGAUGGAGAAAGUGGGUGAUCUUCGGACCUCACGCUAUCAGAUGAGCCUAGGUCGGAUUAGCUAGUUGGUGGGGUAAAGGCCUACCAAGGCGACGAUCCGUAACUGGUCUGAGAGGAUGAUCAGUCACACUGGAACUGAGACACGGUCCAGACUACUACGGGAGGCAGCAGUGGGGAAUAUUAGACAAUGGGCGAAAGCCUGAUCCAGCCAUGCCGCGUGUGUGAAGAAGGUCUUCGGAUUGUAAAGCACUUUAAGUUGGGAGGAAGGGCAGUAAGUUAAUACCUUGCUGUUUUGACGUUAACAACAGAAUAAGCACCGGCUAACUUCGUG